UCCAUACUCCAUAGUAACUGCAUAACCGAAACAUUUAUUCUCUUGCUCCCUCACUCCGUCUCUCUGCGUCUCCAUGUGCUCCAUUUUCAUAUAUCAUCACCACACAAUCUUUAGGUUUUACUUUAGAUCUGAAUUCAAACGGGAAUUCUUUUCGCUUGCAUACUCUCGCAGUUGUGUAUUCAAAUCGACAUUAUAAAUAGCCAAUGGGAGUAGUUAUUGAGAGCUCCGUUUGGGAACCGAAUCCCUCCAUAUACAUCUUCCUCUUCGUUUGUUGUUGCUUCUCGAUCUUUCUUUUCCCUUACGCCUCUAACCACCACAGAACCUCCACAAUUUUCGAUCAUGGAAUCUCUUCCUCCUUUCUCCGUUUCCAACGCAACUUCCUCUUCGUUUAUUCUCUCGCUUCAGUGAUGGAAGGUCUGUGGUCAGUGUUCGGGGAGUAUGAGUUAGCUUCGUAUGGACUCAGCCGAAAACAGAUGAUCGAGUCUCUGUAUUAUGGAUACACAACGGCUCUCUUCGCUGCUCCUUUCCUUGGCGUGCUUUCAGAUUUGAUAGGUCACAAGAAAGUCUCCCUAAUCUUUUGCAUCCUACACCUGUUUGCUGGCAUAUGGAAGAGGUUUUCAGAGCAACCAAGCAUUUUUAUGACUAGCAUAUAUCUCUCUCUGGCCAGUACUAUAUUUUUAUUCAGUUUUGAGACUUGGAUGGUCACUCAACAUGAAAAGCAAGGGCACAGGCAAGAUUCACUUAAUGACACAUUUUGGUUAAUGACUUUCUUUGAGUCUGCAUGGUUAAUUGCCAGCCAAAUGUUUGCAAAUUGGCUUAUUGGUAAUAGUACAGACAAAAACAUUGCUCCUUCCUCUACUAUUAUCAUCCUGGCAACCAUAUGCUUUACUUUUGUCACCAGAGGAUGGACAGAAACCCCAGGAGCAGGGACUUUUAAAGAGUAUAGUAGGUCCUUCUAUGCAUAUAUUUUUGGUGAUAAGAGGAUAUGGCUGUUAACCUGGGCACAAAUGUGCCUUCACUUUUCAAUUGGAAUUUUUUGGAUCCUCUGGGCGCCUACUGUGGUGGCUGAUGGGCGAGAGGUGCAAUUAGGAUUGAUAUAUCCUUCUUUUUUGGCAUCAAGGAUGAUAGGAAGCACCAUAUUUCCUUGUCUUACAAGUGGUCCAUCGUCACUUAGAACUGAGGACUGCCUAGUAUAUGCAUACGUUGUAUUGGCUCUUCUCCUGUCUUUUGUGGCUUAUGACUAUCAGGAAAUUGGAUUUCUGAUGACACUAUUUAGCAUGUUUCAUGCUUGUGUCGGGUUCAUUUUACCGUCACUUGCCAGAUUGAGGACCAUGUAUGUGCCUAAUGAAUUGCGUGGAGGAAUGAUGGGCCUUUCUAUUGCUCCUGCAAAUGCAGCAAUUCUUCUUUCUGUGGUACAGGGUGGUUAUUAUCGGAAUGUUGGAAAUUCAGCAUUAAUGGCAUUUGGUGUGCUUGGUUUAUUGCUAGCAGCUGUUUGCAUGCAUGCCCUGAAGCAAUUGGGAAAGCAACCGUAUCACAAUUGGCAUAAACAGUGAAUGGAUAUCCCUUUGGCAGGCUUUGUUUAGUGGUGGCUGUCUCUCUCUCCUGUUGACAGAAAUGAGUAGUCAGGAGAUCAAACUUCGAUGAGGCAAAUGCAGACGAAGAGCAAUAAAUUUCUGAAGUGUACGACACUCAACUCGUAAUGACUGAAAUUGGGGUACAUGUGUAAAAAGUAAAAACUAAGAACUAAGAGAAAGACUGGCGGGCAACUUCACAGUUUACUUCUUUAUUUUAAAUCUUAAUAUCAAGAUCGGGUUCUCUACUGAUUUGAGUGAUUUGAGUAUGUCAGCCUUAUAGGGCUAUACAUGACUAACGGGUUUCUAAUCUUGUUUAAUUAUUGUAGCUUACACACUUUGCUGCUUGGGUUUGCUAAUGGAAUCUAGUCAACAACCGCACAUGCUUUCGAAGGUGGUAUCUGAAUUUUUAUGUGCUUACGCAUGCCAGUUUUGUCCAGAAAUGCAUCUAAAGACGAGGAGAUAUGGCAAAAAGGAACGCUCAGGAGGCCUACCAAAGGGUCCAGGAGGCCAAGGCGAAGUCCCGGGCUAGGUCCGGGGGUGCUAAAGCAGUCGUUUCUCCUCCUCCUCCUCCUCCUCCCAAGAAUACUGGCACUCCCUCUCAACCUCUUAUAAUUUCUUCAAGUUUGUCUCGACCACCUCCUUCUGCUCAAAUUCUCUCCGAGCCAGAGAAGAAGAAGCGCAAGACUUCAGAGUCUGGCCCUUCUUCUUUUGAUGGUGGGGUUAAGGCGGAUGCUCUUGCAUUCGUCCGAAAGAACAUCUAUCCUUUUAUAAGUAUGGAUGAUGUUUCUGUUCGAAACCACCUUACCACCAUGGCCGAGGAGAGUUUUAGGACAGCGGGCGUUUGUGGCAAACUUUUGGACAUUUUCGAGAAGACUCCUCUCAGCUCCUUGGGGGCAACCUCAAAGGUUGAGGAGUUGGAG